GAUGAAGAACGUAGCGAAAUGCGAUAAGUAGUGUGAAUUGCAGAAUUCAGUGAAUCAUCGAAUCUUUGAACGCACAUUGCGCCCCUUGGUAUUCCAUGGGGAAUGCCUGUUCGAGCGUCAUUUGUACCUUCAAGCUCUGCUUGGUGUUGGGUGUUUGUCUCGCCUCUGCGUGUAGACUCGCCUCAAAACAAUUGGCAGCCGGCGUAUUGAUUUCGGAGCGCAGUACAUCUCGCGCUUUGCACUCAUAACGACGACGUCCAAAAGUACAUUUUUACACUCUUGACCUCGGAUCAGGUAGGGAUACCCGCUGAACUUAAGCAUAUCAAUAAGCGGAGGA
rnacentral:misc_RNA from 1 species